GGCAGCCUUCAGAAGAGUCACCUUUAGGUUAUCAGCAGUAAGGGGGAAAGGCAGGAGGUCCGUCCCAAGAGAUUCCUUCCAAAGGUCUCUGUCUAGGGUGAAGCUGCCUGAGCUCAUUGAUUUCAUUCUCCAGGCUCUCAAAAAUGGUAAUACAAAAAGCUGUUUAUCCAGCACAGGCCCAUCUAGGCCAAUCUUUUUAAUCCUGAGAGUUUCCAGAGUUUCAGGCAGUUUUUCUAGUCUGAGCAAGCCAAGCCAUUUCCUGCACAGAUUCUUUCAUUCCUUCCUCUCUAAAAUUGUAAUAAAAUAGAAUCACUAAAUGAUCCAGUCACAAUCAAGUGCAAAGAGCUGGGGAUCGCGUGGCCUAUGCAUGACGCAUUUGGCCUGCGGGCUGCAAGUUUGAUACCCCUGCUAUACAGAUUAGCCAUCUGGGAUGAACCUGAGGACUUACUCUAUUAUUUGGGCUUUAAUGGAUAUUUCCAUGCCAAUAAGCAUACUGGUAACUUCAUACCAUUGCCUCUAAUAAAACUAUGCAUCAUGUCUAAAAAAAAACUACCCAAUAUUGAGAAUGAAAAAUGGAAAUUUGCACUAUGUGCAAAGAAUGGAGGAUACUGAAAGAAAGGAUCACCAUGUAUUUGGUCCUAAGAUGCCUCUCUCUUCUCCUCCCUUUUUAAAAAUGUAUUUUUAUGUUUUAUAUGGCUUUAUUAUUGCUCAUUAUGUUAUGAAGAUUAGUUAUUUCUAUAAUAGCUUUUAAUGCUGUCUGUUGCCCUGAACAUGUUUAAUGACUAGAACGGUGUAAAUAUAACAGGAAUCAGAAAUAAAUAAGAAUGAUGGGAACUGAGAAGGUGGAGUCUAAUUGCUAUCUGCUUAAUGGGAACAUGCUUCAUUAUUUAUAAUGGAACAAAUAGAGCUGGAUCUAGCUGUUCUGGAGAGAAAAAAAUGUACCUUACGGAUUUUGCUAAAAAGCCUAGCUGGCCAUUUUGCAAAAAAACCAAACAAAACAAAACAUAUAAGCUGCUGAAUUGAGUUUACUGGCUUUUCUUGCCUACAUUUGAGGCUCAUUUCCUUUAAACUCUAUGGAGUCAACAAGAGGAUUUCAUCCUGCAAUCAACUUGUCUGCAGUUUUUCUCAGCAUGAACAAACUGUGCAUUUAUUCCCCAAUCAUUAGUGCUUUUUUCUCCUGGAACUGCAGGGCAGGUGUUUAUUUUUAUUUAAUUAAUCCUUAAUUUGUGCUAUUAUAACCAUAUAUUUUCUGGUGGGGUGGAUCCAUUUUUUUUUCCCAACAGAAGAAAGAACUUUCAGAGCCAAAUUUUCUUCAGGUAACUCUGGCAAGCAAGGAGGGGAAAGAGUCAUUCUUUUUUUUUAAUAGCUCCAGUGCCAUCUGUCAUGCUGUUCUUGGGGGACCAGCAACAGGCCAAGUUUGGAUCAUGGCUGAAGAAAUUUUAAGGCAGAGGGGGCAAUUAGCAAAGAUUACUAACUCCCACUAGAAAUACUCCCAGGAUUUCAUAACAUAGCUAGUUGUUACUGAGGAAAGGCUAGAGAUUCACAUCAGGAAAGAGGAAGGAGGAACCAUACACCAGACAAAAAUGUCAAACAGGAUGAAAAAUUUGAAGUUGGUUCAAAAGCAAAAGGAUUUAAAAUCAUGGAGCAACAGUGUUCUGAGAUACUGACUUUAGUUUUAGUCCCUGCAAAAUAUUCAAAACAAAGGGAAUUUAUAAAAGAAGAAGACACUAGGAUUAGGAUGAGACAUAGCAUAAAAUUUCGAGAAUAGCAGUUAGACAGAAAGAUCUGUCAUGCAUGCAUUUGCCCUCGAAAAUUGGUAAGAGAACACCAGCACAGCUCAUAGAAUUUGGCCUAUGGCUCCUUUUUGACAAACAUACAGUACCUGCAGUAAUCAAGUGAAAAUGGUUUGGGAGAGUUGGAUUAGCAUCUAACAUAUAGAAGAAGAAAUUAAAUUUCCCACAUAAAGAAGGAGAGACACAUCUGAUCACACAUAGAGCUUUGUUGAGGUUGACAUGACAGCUUUCAUUCAUAACCCAGGUCUAUGCUGAACAUUAUAUGAGCUCAAUUAACUGGUACUCAAUAUACCAGAAUAACAGGGAAAACUGCUGAAUAAGAACAAUUAUAAAGUUACAUUAAAUUGCAAGAUAAUUUUUAAAAAUGUACAUAUAAAGUUGAUGACUUUGGGUUCCCUACACCAGAGAUUCUCAACCUUUCAUAUCUUAAUCCAGACUAAUCCUCUAUCAAAAACAAGUAAACCUAAGUACAUAACCAUGUUAGGAAAAACAUAUUUUCCCCAAGUUGGACAUUUAUGCAUCUACAAGUAUUUAAUAAUUAUUAUAUUUCUUACAAGAAACGUUCAGUAAGUCUACUGCAGUAAGUGCCAUCUGUGAAUGCCUUGCACCUCUGGACGAUUCAUAAAAUGUGCUUCAUAUCAGAUGGCAAAACUCCCGGAUCAUUUUGAAAGAAAUUGAUCACUUCUCUGCAACCAGCAGAGAACCUAAGAAACCGGGCGCCAAUUUUGUACUUCAUAGAUUUGAAGAAACGUGAAAUGGAAUUGCAAUACAGGAGGAAGAAAGGGGGUUGUUGAGGUAAAAAAAAAAUCCCCAAGGGGCAGAAACCUUGCUUGGUGUGAAACACCCUCAGCCACAUCAAACUUAUGAAAAGAGGAAGGAGGUCUCUGCCAAGAGCAAACAAAGUGGGCAUUGUUUUUAAACAAUUAUCCUAAGACUGAUUACCUUUCCAAGUAAUUGAACAUUAUGAAAGGUUAUUAACGUGCUGAUCACUGACAGCUUUGAAAACUGCAGCACGGCGUGAGGGAGCAGACAAGUGCAUGUGGGCAGAAGACAGAAUACGUUUCUAUAGCCUUUAAUACACUCCAGUCUGCUUGUCAUCAAGCUGCUGCUAUUGCUGCAGAAAAAGAAAACAACGGGUUAAAUUAUCUCCUUUUGUAAGCUUGGAAGAACCCAUACAAAACAAGUGGGGGUGAGGGAAAACUUUCAGGCCCUAAAUGGUAGGUGCCUUAAAAUGCCAUGGAGGCAGAAAGAGAAGAAAGAGGUAUGCACUCCGUAAAACUGAAAGCCUCAUUCACAACUGGGGAGUGAUCAAAAUUUUGGAUCUCUGAACUAGCCUGGUGAUAGUGCUCAGGGCAGGUUAACUUCAGCAUAAAGCUGGACAAGCAGGAGUUGAGCAAUGUUUUAAUUCCAGAGAAGAGGGUUGCAAGAGUCUGUCUCUGGAAUUCAUCAAGCCAGUCCAAUUACUGCCCUGGACUGGCCACGCAGUAUUUCCCCUCCAAUCUUCUCCUUACAUUUUGUUCCCUUUCUCACAUGUUUCCAAAGGGAAGACAAUGUUUUGAAGGUUGUUUACUGUGCUCCACAAUUUUUAAGAGGAACUACAUGUGUGUUCAAAGAAAAAUUGUUUCUUUGAUUUAUUCUCUGCUUUUCUUGUCAGCUGUAAAGCCAACAAAGCUGGCCCUUCCUUCAAAGCAAAAUAUUUCCUUUGGAUUUUGGUGAACCCCUUCAUGAUCAAGAAGUCUUGGUGAGCUUCCCUGGUGCCUGGCAGCUUCUAUGCACCACAUAAUACAAGAUGAGCAGAUCUGGUAACUGGUUAAACUUCCUACAGGGUGGUAUGACAAAGUAGUGUUACAGGGUAUUAUGAGAAGUUAAAAUGGCAGCAAGAAUCCAAGCAUAAAUUAUGGGCCAGAUGCUGAUGCCAGUCUUGAACCCUUCAUAAUUGUAAAGACAGAAAUUGCCCUGAGAAGAACAAGUAGGUAAAGAAAAGAGCAUCAUUUCAUUUAGGAUUGGUCCCACCAUUCCAAGUCAGCCUUAGAAAUCUCUAUAACUUCAUUACAUCACAGAAUGCUAAAAAAUAAAGAGUCCAGAGCAAAAAAUAGCCAGUCAACCCAAGCUACCUUGUCAGUAGAUCAUUUUGGACCAGGUGUUUCUUUGGAAAUUCCACAGAGCUAUUUAAUAAGAUAAUUAAUAGUGGAUGGGAGUUCCAUGGAAGACAGUUUCCCACAUAGGGAAAUGUAUUUUGAGCAGCAAGUUCUACUUCUGACAGAUACUCAGGGCCAGAUUAAUGCUUUAUUUUAAGUUAGCAAAGGUUGUUGCACAUAACAGAAAGCUUAUCACUCAUCUAGAGGAAAAAGUGGAUGUGAACUUUUCAGUCUUAAAUUUCAUCUGAAUAGACUACAUUUUUUUCAGACAUGAAACCUGCAUUCCGUGAUGCAACUUCCACCUAUUUUCAAAAGGGAGUACCACUUCAGAAGUUUUGAUUCAUCUCAAAGUUUUCUGGUGGCACUUACCCCGACGAGAAUAGUCAGAAUGUUCAAGAACAAAUCAGAAAAAUGCUGGAAAUGUCAACAGAUACCUGGUUCUUAUUACCAUAUGUGGUGGACAUGCACAGAAGCUAAAAAAUACUGGACUAAAAUCCACACAUGGUUGGAGAAAAUGAUAAAAAAGUAUAUAAGAUUUUAAACCAGAAGUUUUUCUAUUGGGAAUUAUACCUGAAACCUAUAACAGAGAAUUGAGGUAUUUGAUUGUGAAUGUAAUAACAGCAGCUAGGAUUGUAUUUGCAAAGAAUUGGAAAAAUGAGAAAUUGCCAUUGCAAGAUGAAAUUAUUAAGAAAAUAAUGGAAUGUGCAGAAAUGAGUAAAUUGACGUUUGAAAUUAGAGAACAGGAAGAUAAGCAAUAUUAUAAGAUAUGGGAUUUAUUUUAUCAAUGGUUAGAAGGGAAAAUAUGAUAAAGAAGAUUGGAGCUUUUAACAAGGCAAGAAAUAUUGAAUGAUAUAACGGUUUUAAAAUGAUGGAAUAAAUGGGGUAAUAAGAUAAAAUAUUGAUCCAGAAUAACUUAUAUUAAACCAGAGAAUAAAAUACUAUAGUUAAUCUAAGGAUCAAUUGAUUAAAAUAUCUGAAUAUAUAUUGGAUGAUAAAAUGUAAGAUUAAAUAAAUUAAUGAUAUGUAAUUGUUGAAAUUGCACAAAAGAACUGUAACUCACCCACCAACAUAUUGUUUCUGAAUGGAAGAUGCUUUUAUGUUUGUAUGUUUUAAAAAAAUGUUAUAACUUCUGCUCCAAACAAUUUUCUUGAUUAUUAUUUGAUACAGUUUGUCAAAGAGCUAAGUUCUGUAUCCCAGAGUUACCGUGUCUAGGUCUGUGUAUCAAACUCUUUUGUGUUAAGGAAUCACAAUGCACGUUUUGUGGGGAAAGAACCCUGCAAAGACUCUGCAUAUUAGGGAACCAGCUCACCUUUCUUCCUACUUCCGAAAGGGAAAAGAAUGAUUCUUGUAAUCUCAAAGUAGUCACUUUGCUUUAUUUUAUUAAAUUGUUAUUUCACCGUGAGUUUGCUCAUCCAAGAUCCUGCAGGGGUAGAUGUAAGAGUCAGUGAAAAUGUUGGAAAUGUGGUCCCUUAGGUGAGGUUUUUCUCCCUCUCAACAUACCAUAGAAGCAGGCUGUUAUCCAUGAAAUAAUUGAACUGUAGCUCACAGGUAGAAUGUAAGCUUUCCACACAGAAAUCCUGAGAUCCAUUCUUGGAAUGUGCAGAGAAAGGAUGUAAGCCCUCAGAUGCUAAUGGGCAGAAGCAGGCAGCAAGCUGUUGCAGGCCAGAGUUGUGUGUAUCAUUUGUCUGCCUUUAACCUCCUAAAUAACCAUUUGCCCUUAGGUGCAGUGUAGAAUGCUGCCUUGUCAUUACUGUUGAAAUAAGAUUAAUUUGUUAGUCAGGUCACCAUUUACUGUAAACAUGGAAUGGGUGGAGAUACCUAUCCUACUUAUUGCCCCCAGCAAUGAAAGGUUUUCAGUCAGCCCAAGAGCUCAAGAUGCAGUCAAUAGAAGUCUCAGAUGGACUCCAGAAAGCUAAUUGCCUGCUUAACAACUAAACAUAAAGAUAGUUAUGUCAGCACACAAGAAACAUUCACAGUUCUAUGAUACUUUUCUUAGAAUCAACCAAAAUAACAUUCAAACAAUGUGAACAUAUCUGAAAAUUCUUUAUUCAUUUAUUUUCUAUCCAAGAUCUGUAGAUGGUUAAAUAAUCUGACUUGCUCCCCUGUGUUCUUCAGGUCAUAAUAAGAUUGCUAGGUUGCAAAUUAUUAUUUUUUUAACUGCAGAGAAAUACAACAGGCACAUCAUUGGCCCUGGUACAUACAGUUGCUUAGGUGUUUUCAGAUUUUGCAAGGGAUUGUGUUAUUUUAAAACGUGCCAGCUCCAUUUGAAGUGCAGCAGUUCUGGGAUAAAAAAAAACAUGAACUCUCCAUUCUACCAAAUAAUUCAGCUUCUAUUGCCACUAUCAGAUAUCUCAGAAACAUCUGUUUCCAGCCAAGCUUUAUGUAUGCAACCAAAAAUAAUUUGUCUGUGGCAAUUUUGAUUUGCUCAGAUACUCCUUUUGAAUAAUCACUUGUACAGCAAUUUCAUUUCCUCUGAGUGUUCUGGACUUUACAUUUUUAUUAUAAAAAAUGUUGGUUCCCCCAUGUUUUAAGCAGUAAUAUAGUGGGUAACUUUAACCUUAAUUCAACACUCUUCGAUUCUGCAUUCAGAUAAUGAUACCAAUAGCAAUAGCAUUUAGACUGACAUACUGCUUCACAGUGCUUUACAGCCCUCUUUGGCAGUUCAAAUCUGUAAAGUGGUUUAUAGUGCCAGCAUAUUGUCCCCAACAAUCUGAGUCCUCAUGUUACUGACCUUGGAAGGAUGGAAGGCUGAGUCAACCUUGAGCCUGGUGAGAUUUGAACUGCCAAAUUGCAGGCAGCCAGUGGUCAGAAGAAGUAGCUUGCAGUACUGCAUUCUAACCACUGCAUCACCAUGGCUCUUAAUUUGAUAAAAUAGUCUCGUGGUCUACAAAUCCUCCUGUUCACUCAGAUGAAUGGGGCUCAGGGAGUAUCAGUAUAAGCGUCAAUGAUUUUAAAAGUUUUGGAAGUAUUUCUAUCCUGCAAAACUGACAUGGGAGAAUUGAAGUGAAUGUACAGCCAUCAGAAGUUUUAUAUGCCUGUAAACCGCCCUGAGUCCCUUGGGAGAUAGGGCGGUAUAUAAAUUCGAAUAAUAAAUAAAUAAAUAAAUAAAAAGAAGUAAACAGAAGGGGGAAAAAAGGGGGUAGGACCACAGUAGCAGAUCCCAAUUAUGUAAUCUGUAAGUGAGCUGUGCAACAACAGUGUUAUAUCAUGUACUGUAUAGCAUCUAUUCAUCACUAAGGCUAAAUAAAAUUAAUAUCAAGUAAUAGGAGUGGUAAUAAAUCACAUGAAAGUGAUCCAGCUUGGAAUGCCCUGGUUCUAAGUGUCUUUGGCAAACGAUAUAUGUCCUUUCACCUACUGGUUGUAGAAGCCAGCCAGAAGUAUCUUUAAGUACAAGCUUUAGAAUGCUGAAAGGAAUAGAAAUGUUUUUACUUGAAUUUUACCAUAGUAUACCUUUCAAUUCACCACACUAAUCUACCUUAUUUUUUCUUUGCUUUUCCCUCUUCAAGCCAUUUUUAUAAGGUGAUAACUUCACUCUGCAUUAUGGUACAAUUGGCUCCAGAAGAUGUCAAGGAGAUGGCUCUAAUUCAGCCUGCCUCCUAAUUGUAUUCUUUCUAUUCUCCAGAAACAACCAUUGUGACAGCUGUUUCAUCUCCUCAUCCUGUUUAAAAAAGGGAGCGUUCAUACAUGCAAUCUCACUCUCCUGAAAGCAUCAGAAAUUCACAAAUCAUUAUACUAAAUAUAAGGACAGACCCUCAACAUAUGAAUUAAUUAGAGAUGUGUAACUGAAUCAUUAUUUUGAUGAUGUAUCAAACAAUUGCAAUAGUCUCACAUUCUGAAAAUAAUCCUAUAUUAUAUUGGGUGGAAAACUAUUCACUUUGUAUUUGGAUUUCUGUUUUCCAUACCUUAUCAGAGGUUCUUAUGGAUCUAACAUACGUAAAGGGAAGAAAGAAUAUUAAAAAUUGGUGGGGCUUGUUUAAUCCCUUUCAUAAAUAAAGUCAUCUAACAUGUUAUGUGUCAACGUGAAAAAGUAGUAACUCCUUUAAUCCAAUUAAAUUACAUUACAUUAAAUUAAAUACACUGAUUUUAAAUUAAUUAUAUUUACAUUAAUAAAUAUAAUCUCCAAAAUAAAAUUCACCCAUAUGUUUUCAUUUUAAUUAUUUUAAUGUCAUUAAUUAAUUAAUCAAAUAAGUUGGGCCAGUUAUGCAAGUACUUGAUUAAACAUUUAAGGUUAAUUUGGAAAAGCCUUUAC